rnacentral:rRNA from 1 species
UACGUAGGGCGCAAGCGUUAUCCGGAAUUAUUGGGCGUAAAGAGCUCGUAGGCGGUUUGUCGCGUCUGCCGCGAAAGUCCGGGGGCUCAACUCCGGAUCUGCGGUGGGUACGGGCAGACUAGAGUGAUGUAGGGGGAGACUGGAAUUCCUGGCGUAGCGGUGAAAUGCGCAGAUAUCAGGAGGAACACCGAUGGCGAAGGCAGGUCUCUGGGCAUUAACUGACGCUGAGGAGCGAAAAGCAUGGGGAGCGAACAGG